AUUGAACGCUGGCGGCAUGCUUUACACAUGCAAGUCGAACGGUAGAGGGGGCAACCCCUUGAGAGUGGCGAACGGGUGAGUAAUGCAUCGGAACGUGCCCAGUCGUGGGGGAUAACGCAGCGAAAGCUGUGCUAAUACCGCAUACGAUCUCUGGAUGAAAGCGGGGGACCGAAAGGCCCCGCGCGAUUGGAGCGGCCGAUGUCAGGUUAGGUAGUUGGUGGGGUAAAGGCUCACCAAGCCAACGAUCUGUAGCUGGGCUGAGAGGACGACCAGCCACACUGGGACUGAGACACGGCCCAGACUCCUACGGGAGGCAGCAGUGGGGAAUUUUGGACAAUGGGCGCAAGCCUGAUCCAGCAAUGCCGCGUGCAGGAAGAAGGCCUUCGGGUUGUAAACUGCUUUUGUACGGAACGAAAAGGUCUGGGUUAAUACCCUGGGCACAUGACGGUACCGUAAGAAUAAGCACCGGCUAACUACGUGCCAGCCGCCGCAGUAA
rnacentral:rRNA from 1 species